rnacentral:rRNA from 1 species
GAUGAACGCUGGCGGCAUGCCUAAAACAUGCAAGUCGAGCGGUAAGGCCCCUUCGGGGGUACACGAGCGGCGGACGGGUGAGUAACGCGUGGGAAUCUACCCCAAACUGAGGGAUAAGCAUUGGAAACGAUGUCUAAUACCGCAUAUGGUCUUCGGAUUAAAGCUUCGGCGGUUUGGGAAGAGCCCGCGUAAGAUUAGCUAGUUGGUGAGGUAAAGGCUCACCAAGGCGACGAUCUUUAACUGGUUUGAGAGGAUGAUCAGUCACACUGGAACUGAGACACGGUCCAGACUCCUACGGGAGGCAACAGUUAGGAAUUUUCCACAAUGGGCGAAAGCCUGAUGGAGCAAUGCCGCGUGCAGGAUGAAGGCCUUAGGGUUGUAAACUGCUUUUAUACGUGAAG